rnacentral:rRNA from 1 species
UACAGAGGGGGCAAGCGUUGUUCGGAAUUACUGGGCGUAAAGGGCGCGUAGGCGGCCUUCUAAGUCGAACGUGAAAUCCCCGGGCUCAACCCGGGAACUGCGUCCGAUACUGGAAGGCUUGAAUCCGGGAGAGGGAUGCGGAAUUCCAGGUGUAGCGGUGAAAUGCGUAGAUAUCUGGAGGAACACCGGUGGCGAGGGCGGCAUCCUGGACCGGUAUUGACGCUGAGGCGCGAAAGCCAGGGGAGCAAACGGG